rnacentral:rRNA from 1 species
UACGUAGGGUGCGAGCGUUAAUCGGAAUUACUGGGCGUAAAGCGUGCGCAGGCGGUUUUGUAAGCCAGAUGUGAAAUCCCCGGGCUUAACCUGGGAAUGGCAUUUGGGACUGCAAGGCUCGAGUGCGGCAGAGGAGACUGGAAUUCCUGGUGUAGCAGUGAAAUGCGCAGAUAUCAGGAGGAACACCGGUGGCGAAGGCGGGUCUCUGGGCCGAUACUGACGCUGAGGAGCGAAAGCGUGGGGAGCGAACAGG